GAGCCUGUGGCUCAGUAUGGAUAGAGCGCAGGAUUGCGGAUCCUGAGGUCCCGGGUUCGAAUCCCGGCAGGCUCG
rnacentral:tRNA from 1 species